rnacentral:rRNA from 1 species
UAAAAUUUAUAAAAUUAGGUAGUAAAGAAUUUUCUGAAACCUAAAGAAUUUGGCGGUAUUUUAAAUAAUUGGAGGAACCUGUUAUUUAGUUGACAACCCACAACAAAUCUUACCUAAAUUUUAUUUGUAUAUCGUCGUUUUUGAUAAUGUUUAAAAAUUAUAAUCAAUAAAAAUAAACUUUUUAAAAUCAGAUCAAGGUGCAGUAUAUUUAGGGUAUAAUGGGUUACAAUAUAAUUAUAUACAACGGAUUUAAAAUUGAAAUCAUAUUGAAGGUGGAUUCAAAAGUAAUAUUAAAUUAAAAUGUUAAUUUGAUUAAAAAUUUAAAAUAUGC